rnacentral:lncRNA from 1 species
AAUUGGUCAGAAUGGAAAAAACCCCACACAUUUGCACACAGAAGUGUGUUAAGUAUGAGUUAUAGAGAAGAAUAGGCUGUGGCUAUACAAUUUGUCAGAAAUGUUGUGAGUAGAGAAACAGUGUUUUCCAGACAUAUAUAUUGUUCCGUUUCACCUUUAAACUUCCCUAUUAAUCAGUGAAUGUGGGAAAUUCUUCAGCUUAAGCUCAGCUCUAACUAAACAUAAGCGAAUACAUACAAGGGAAAGACCCUAUCAAUGUACUAAGUGUGGUGAUGUCUUUUGUCAUAGUACAUCCUUAAUUCGACAUCAGAAAACUCAUUUCAGAAAGGAAACCUUAGCAGAGUAAUGAGUGUGGGAAAGCCUGCAGUCAGUCGUAGGUUAUUGUUUACACCUGAGCACUCACAGUUCAAGCAACCCUAGGAUUGUUAUGUGAGGAAAAUCUUAGGCAAAACACUCAUUUACUUAAUAUGCUAUUUGUACUGAGAAGA